AGGUGCUUGAGGCUUCCUGCGUGAGGAGAGUUCUGCUGUCAAACCAGGUGGCUUCCCUGCCAGUCCUGUGACUUGGAGUCAGAAGCACAUGGAUCCUCUUUUGAAUACAAGGCUGAGAAUUUUGGCAGGCUUGGUAAAUCAGCUGUGGACUUGUGUGGUCCCAGGUUAGAAUGCCGAAGAUAGCUGGACAAAAAGAGGAAGAAUCGAUACCACACGACUUACGUUUCAGGGGUUGUAGUGAUGAAGUGUGACUCUGGAAGUUGGUACAUUCAAAAUCUCCUUCACCCACGGGACCCUGUGUGGGACAACUGAGAUUUCCCUCCUCAUCACUUCAAAACACACCUGUUCCUGUGCAGGACAAAGCCCAGGAGUGAAGUGUUACAGAGGAAAGGCCACCUGAGUAUGCAUUAAGUAGGUGGCCAUUUUCAAGCCAGGAAGAGCGUGCUCACCAGGAACUGAAUCAACUGGUACCUUUAUCUGGGACUUCUAACCUUCAUAGAAGGAGAAGGUUUCUCCUGUGAGAAAAGGAAUCUGUUGUGGAGAAACAUGAGCGUGCUUACAUGCCAAUUGGAAGGAUAUAUUAAAAGGGAGAAGAUAAAUUUACAAAAGAAAGAAUAAGAUA